rnacentral:misc_RNA from 1 species
AUUGAGGACUACAUGAGGAAACCCUGAGUUUUUCCCGCUUGCUUCUUCUCCACCAUUGUCAGCCAUGUUAACUUUUCACUAUAACUUGGAUCACAGAAAAUAUAAUCACAAUCAUCCCAAGUAAGACAGACUAACUUUAUAUCACUGAAACUCAAGCUACAGUGAGGAGCUAACAAGGAAUACAAAUACCAGAAAGAAAAACCAACUCAAGAUCCCCGAAAGCAUAUUCAAUGAAGAUCAAUCAAUCAUGCAAAAAAACAAAGUAAAAAGAGAGAUUUCUAGAUGAUUAUAAAACAAAUAUAAAAUAAAAUUUGAAAAUUGACAUAGAUAAGCAAAAUCAUACAAGUAUAAAUUAUACUCACAGGCGAAAAAGAAAGACAUACUACAGAGGCUCAGAGAGAUUAUGCAAACUCAAACCAGCGCACUAGGGAAAACCCAAAAGUAUUAUAAUGAAUACAACCAUUACAUAACCCAAAUCCAUUUGAAAAAUUAACAAAUAACCACAAGAUUUCGUUUCCUUUUUGUUGGGGUAAGUUCUAGAGCAGAUGCAGAAUCCAAAAAAAUGGGCACCUAAAAGUAAAAUUUGUUCUUCUAAGCAAAGCAAAAAGAAUAAUAAUAAAACAUAAAUAACUACCAUCAGAGACAAAGAUGAAAUGAAACCGAAUCCAAAGUACUCGGAGCCAUUGAAAGAAGAUAAAAAGAACUUACAGAGAAUCUCUGUAUGUGAAAUGAAAGCUUAGAUUUGCUUCUAUAUGCUAAAGCAUCUGUAUGUGUAUCUAUAUACAUAGAUGGAGCGGACACAUGAAAUGAGAGAGAGCUUUGCCUCUUAUUGUUGGAAGGUAAACGAAGACGUUACUGUAUCUAAUUGGGCCAUGUUUCAACGGCCAGUCUACGGUCAAUAUGGACCGCUGGAUGGAAA